UACGUAGGUGGCGAGCGUUGUCCGGAUUUACUGGGCGUAAAGAGCGCGCAGGCGGCUGGUCAAGUCCGAUGUGAAAGCUCCCGGCUUAACUGGGAAAUUGCAUCGGAAACUGAUCGGCUGGAAGGUGGGAGAGGGUAGCGGAAUUCCCGGUGUAGUGGUGAAAUGCGUAGAUAUCUGGAGGAACACCGGUGGCGAAGGCGGCAUCCUGGACCGGUAUUGACGCUGAGGAGCGAAAGCCAGGGGAGCAAACGGG
rnacentral:rRNA from 1 species